AACUUUCAGCAAUGGAUCUCUUGGAUCUCGCAUUGAUGAAGAACACAGCGAAAUGCUAUAAGUACUGUGAAUUGCAGAAUUCAGUGAAUCAUCGAAUCUUUGAACGCACCUGGUGCUCCUUGGUAUUCCAAGGAGCAUGCCUGUUUGAGUGUCAUCAAAUUCUCAAACCUCUCAAAUUUAUAUAGAGAGGCCUUUGGACUUGUAGUGUUGCUGGCUUCAUUUGUCAGCUCCUCUUAAAUUCAUUAGCUUGUACCUUGUGGAUAAGCUUUGGUUUGAUAAUAUCUAUGCCAUCGCUGUGAAACAAAUGGUCAGCUUCUAAACCAUUCAUAUCAUUAACAAUUUGACCUCAAAUCAGGUAGGACUACCCACUGAACUUAAGCAUAUCAAUAAGCGGAGGCU
rnacentral:misc_RNA from 1 species